rnacentral:rRNA from 1 species
GUAAGGAAUAUUGGACAAUGGUCGCAAGACUGAUCCAGCUAUGCCGCGUGAAGGAUGAAGGCCCUAUGGGUUGUAAACUUCUUUUGUACGGGAAUAACCCCCUUUACGUGUAAAGGGCUGAAUGUACCGUAAGAAUAAGGAUCGGCUAACUCCGUGCCAGCAGCCGCGGUAAUACGGAGGAUCCGAGCGUUAUCCGGAUUUAUUGGGUUUAAAGGGUGCGUAGGCGGAAUGGUAAGUCAGUGGUGAAAGCCUGCAGCUUAACUGUAGAAUUGCCGUUGAUACUGCCAAUCUUGAGUAUAUUUGAUGUGGGCGGAAUGUGUCAUGUAGCGGUGAAAUGCUUAGAUAUGACACAGAACACCGAUUGCGAAGGCAGCUCACAAAACUAUAACUGACGCUGAGGCACGAAAGCGUGGGGAUCGAACAGGAUUAGAAACCCUAGUAGUCC